rnacentral:rRNA from 1 species
UACAGAGGGUGCGAGCGUUAAUCGGAAUUACUGGGCGUAAAGCGCACGUAGGUGGCGACGUAAGUCGGGUGUGAAAGCCCCGGGCUCAACCUGGGAAGUGCAUUCGAGACUGCAUUGCUGGAGUACGGAAGAGGAGGGCGGAAUUCCCGGUGUAGCGGUGAAAUGCGUAGAUAUCGGGAGGGACAUCAGUGGCGAAGGCGGCCCUCUGGUCCAGUACUGACACUCAAGUGCGAAAGCGUGGGGAGCAUACAGG